AACGAACGCUGGCGGCAUGCCUAACACAUGCAAGUCGAACGAGACCUUCGGGUCUAGUUGCGCACGGGUGCGUAACGCGUGGGAACCUGCCCUUAGGUUCGGUAUAACUCCCCGAAAGGGGUGCUAAUACCGGAUAAUGUCUUCGGACCAAAGAUUUCUCGCCUUUGGAUGGGCCCGCGUUGGAUUAGCUAGUUGGUAGGGUAAAAGCCUACCAAGGCGACGAUCCAUAGCUGGUCUGAGAGGAUGAUCAGCCACACUGGGACUGAGACACGGCCCAGACUCCUACGGGAGGCAGCAGUGGGGAAUAUUGGACGAGGGGCGAAAGGCUGAUCCAGCAAUGCCGCGUGAGUGAUGAAGGCCGUAGGGUUGUAAAGCUCUUUUACCCGGGAUGAUAAUGACAGUACCGGGAGAAUAAGCGCCGGCUAACUCCGUG
rnacentral:rRNA from 1 species